UACGGAGGGUGCGAGCGUUGUCCGGAAUCACUGGGCGUAAAGGGCGCGUAGGUGGCCUGUGGAAGUCUGCGGUGAAAGCCCGGCGCUCAACGCCGGGUCGGCCGUGGAUACUCUCGGGCUCGAGCUUACUAGAGGCAGAUGGAAUUCCGGGUGUAGCGGUGGAAUGCGUAGAGAUCCGGAAGAACACCGGUGGCGAAGGCGGCGACCUGGUCCGAUACUGACGCUGAGGCGCGAAAGCGUGGGGAGCAAACAGG
rnacentral:rRNA from 1 species